rnacentral:rRNA from 1 species
UACGUAGGGUGCGAGCGUUAAUCGGAAUUACUGGGCGUAAAGCGUGCGCAGGCGGCUUUGUAAGACAGGUGUGAAAUCCCCGGGCUUAACCUGGGAACUGCGCUUGUGACUGCACAGCUAGAGUACGGCAGAGGGGGGUAGAAUUCCACGUGUAGCAGUGAAAUGCGUAGAGAUGUGGAGGAAUACCGAUGGCGAAGGCAGCCCCCUGGGCCUGUACUGACGCUCAUGCACGAAAGCGUGGGGAGCAAACAGG